UACGAGGGGGGCAAAUGUUGUUCGGAAUCACUGGGCGUAAAGGGAGCGUAGGCGGGUUCUUAAGUUAGGUGUUUAAUCCCGGGGCCCAACCCCGGACCGGCACUUAAAACUGGGAAUCUUGAAUAGUGGAGAGGUCGGUGGAAUUGGGGGUGUAGCGGUGGAAUGCGUAGAGAUCCCCAAGAACACCAGUUGCGAAGGCGGCCGACUGGACACAUAUUGACGCUGAGGCGCGAAAGCGUGGGGAGCAAACAGG
rnacentral:rRNA from 1 species